UCCUACGGGGGGCAGCAGUCGGGAAUAUUGCGCAAUGGAGGAAACUCUGACGCAGUGACGCCGCGUAUAGGAAGAAGGUUUUAGGAUUGUAAACUAUUUUAGACAGGGAAGAAAAAUGACUGUACCUGUAGAAUAAGCUCCGGCUAACUACGUGCCAGCAGCCGCGGUAAUACGUAGGGAGCAAGCGUUAUCCGGAAUUAUUGGGUGUAGAGGGUGCGUAGACGGGAAUACAAGUUGGUUGUGAAAUCCCUCGGCUUAACUGAGGAACUGCAACCAAAACUAUAUUUCUUGAGUGCAGGAGAGGA
rnacentral:rRNA from 1 species